UCAUUAAAAAUUCACAGGUUUGGGUUGGUACCAUUGGGUCAGGCCCCAAGGGUCGGAAUCUCUGUGCUACCUUCCAGAAUACUGAAACAUUUGAGUUCCAAGAUGAAGUGGGAGCACUUUUGUUAUCUGUGUGCCAGACUGUGAGCCAAGGAAUUUUGUGUUUCUUGCCAUCUUACAAGCAGGUUGGGAGGCUGAGCUGGGAGGAUCACUUGAGCCCAGGAGUUCGAGACCAGCCUGGAGAACAUGGUGAAACUCUGCCUCUACAAAAUACAAAAAUUAGCUGGGUGUGGUGGCACACACCUAUAGUCCCAGCUACCUGCGAGGCUGAGGUGGGAGGAUUGCUUGAGCCCAGGAGGUUGAGGUUACAGUGAGCUAUGAUUGCACCCCUGCACUCCAGCGUGGGCAACAGAAUAAGACUCUCUCUAAAAUAAAAUAAAAUAAUCUGAAAG
rnacentral:lncRNA from 10 species